rnacentral:rRNA from 1 species
GACGAACGCUGGCGGCGUGCUUAACACAUGCAAGUCGAACGGAAAGGCCCUGCUUGCAGGGUACUCGAGUGGCGAACGGGUGAGUAACACGUGGGUGAUCUGCCCUGCACUUCGGGAUAAGCCUGGGAAACUGGGUCUAAUACCGGAUAGGAGCCAUUUUUAGUGUGAUGGUUGGAAAGUUUUUUCGGUGUAGGAUGAGCUCGCGGCCUAUCAGCUUGUUGGUGGGGUAAUGGCCUACCAAGGCGGCGACGGGUAGCCGGCCUGAGAGGGUGGACGGCCACAGUGGGACUGAGAUACGGCCCAGACUCCGACGGGAGGCAGCAGUGGGGAAUAUUGCACAAUGGGCGCAAGCCUGAUGCAGCGACGCCGCGUGGGGGAGGACGGCCUUCGGGUUGUAAACUCCUUUCGCUAGGGACGAAGCUUUUUGUGACGGUACCUAGAUAAGAAGCACCGGCUAACUACGUG